CCUUAGAGUUUGAUCCUGGCUCAGAAUGAACGCUAGCUACAGGCUUAACACAUGCAAGUCGAGGGGCAGCAUGGUCUUAGCUUGCUAAGACUGAUGGCGACCGGCGCACGGGUGAGUAACACGUAUCCAACCUGCCGUCUACUCUUGGACAGCCUUCUGAAAGGAAGAUUAAUACAAGAUGGCAUCAUGAGUCCACAUGUUCACAUGAUUAAAGGUAUUCCGGUAGACGAUGGGGAUGCGUUCCAUUAGAUAGUAGGCGGGGUAACGGCCCACCUAGUCUUCGAUGGAUAGGGGUUCUGAGAGGAAGGUCCCCCACAUUGGAACUGAGACACGGUCCAAACUCCUACGGGAGGCAGCAGUGAGGAAUAUUGGUCAAUGGGCGAGAGCCUGAACCAGCCAAGUAGCGUGAAGGAUGACUGCCCUAUGGGUUGUAAACUUCUUUUAUAAAGGAAUAAAGUCGGGUAUGCAUACCCGUUUGCAUGUACUUUAUGAAUAAGGAUCGGCUAACUCCGUGCCAGCAGCCGCGGUAAUACGGAGGAUCCGAGCGUUAUCCGGAUUUAUUGGGUUUAAAGGGAGCGUAGAUGGAUGUUUAAGUCAGUUGUGAAAGUUUGCGGCUCAACCGUAAAAUUGCAGUUGAUACUGGAUAUCUUGAGUGCAGUUGAGGCAGGCGGAAUUCGUGGUGUAGCGGUGAAAUGCUUAGAUAAUCACGAAGAACUCCGAUGCGAAGGCAGCCUGCUAAGCUGCAAACUGACAUUGAGGCUCGAAAAGUGUGGGUAUCAAACAGGAUUAGAUACCCUGGUAGUCCACACGGUAAACGAUGAAUACUCGCUGUUUGCGAUAUACGGCAAGCGGCCAAGCGAAAGCGUUAAGUAUUCCACCUGGGGAGUACGCCGGCAACGGUGAAACUCAAAGGAAUUGACGGGGGCCCGCACAAGCGGAGGAACAUGUGGUUUAAUUCGAUGAUACGCGAGGAACCUUACCCGGGCUUAAAUUGCAGAUGAAUUACGGUGAAAGCCGUAAGCCGCAAGGCAUCUGUGAAGGUGCUGCAUGGUUGUCGUCAGCUCGUGCCGUGAGGUGUCGGCUUAAGUGCCAUAACGAGCGCAACCCUUGUUGUCAGUUACUAACAGGUCAUGCUGAGGACUCUGACAAGACUGCCAUCGUAAGAUGUGAGGAAGGUGGGGAUGACGUCAAAUCAGCACGGCCCUUACGUCCGGGGCUACACACGUGUUACAAUGGGGGGUACAGAGGGCCGCUACCACGCGAGUGGAUGCCAAUCCCCAAAACCUCUCUCAGUUCGGACUGGAGUCUGCAACCCGACUCCACGAAGCUGGAUUCGCUAGUAAUCGCGCAUCAGCCACGGCGCGGUGAAUACGUUCCCGGGCCUUGUACACACCGCCCGUCAAG
rnacentral:rRNA from 1 species